rnacentral:rRNA from 1 species
GUGGGGAAUCUUAGACAAUGGGCGCAAGCCUGAUCUAGCCAUGCCGCGUGAGUGAUGAAGGCCUUAGGGUCGUAAAGCUCUUUCGCUGGGGAAGAUAAUGACGGUACCCAGUAAAGAAACCCCGGCUAACUCCGUGCCAGCAGCCGCGGUAAUACGGAGGGGGUUAGCGUUGUUCGGAAUUACUGGGCGUAAAGCGCGCGUAGGCGGAUCAGAAAGUUGGGGGUGAAAUCCCGGGGCUCAACCCCGGAAUGGCCUUCAAAACUCCUGGUCUUGAGGUCGAGAGAGGUGAGUGGAAUUCCGAGUGUAGAGGUGAAAUUCGUAGAUAUUCGGAGGAACACCAGUGGCGAAGGCGGCUCACUGGCUCGAUACUGACGCUGAGGUGCGAAAGCGUGGGGAGCAAACAGGAUUAGAAACCCUGGUAGUCC